rnacentral:sRNA from 1 species
GCUGGGUGUGGUGGUGCACACCUGUAAUCCCAUCUGCUUGAGAGGCUGACAGGAGAAUCACAAGUUCAAGGCUAGCCUCAGCAACUUAGCAAGGCACUAAGCAACUUAGUGAGACCCUGUCUCU